rnacentral:rRNA from 1 species
UACGAGUGGUCCAAGCAUUAUCCGGAAUUACUGGGCGUAAAGGGCGCGUAGGCGGCCCACUAAGUCGGACGUGAAAUCCCUCGGCUCAACCGGGGAACUGCGUCCGAUACUGGUGGGCUCGAAUCCGGGAGAGGGAUGUGGAAUUCCAGGUGUAGCGGUGAAAUGCGUAGAUAUCUGGAGGAAUACCAGAGGCGAAGGCGGCUACCUGGACAAUUGCUGACGCUCAGGCACGAAAGCGUGGGGAGCAAAAGGG